ACGUAGGUAAUGUACCGUAGGGUGGGGAAUAACUUAGGGAAACUUAAGCUAAUACCGCAUAAUGCAGCGGCACCGCAAGGUGACAGUUGUUAAAGGAGCAAUCCGCCUUAUGAGCAGCCUGCGGCAGAUUAGCUAGUUGGUAAGGUAAUGGCUUACCAAGGCGACGAUCUGUAACCGACCUGAGAGGGUGGUCGGUCACACUGACACUGAAUAACGGGUCAGACUCCUACGGGAGGCAGCAGUCGGGAAUUUUGGGCAAUGGGCGAAAGCCUGACCCAGCAACGCCGCGUGAAGGACGAA
rnacentral:rRNA from 1 species